CUGGGUUUGACAUGGGAGUGAAAGUCUUCAGAGAUGGAGGCCUUUCCUUCGGGAACACUCUACACAGGUGCUGCAUGGUUGUCGUCAGCUCGUGUCGUGAGAUGUUGGGUUAAGUCCCGCAACGAGCGCAACCCUCGCCAUUAGUUGCCAGCGGGUAAUGCCGGGAACUCUAAUGGGACUGCUUGGAAUAACCAGGAGGAAGGUGGGGAUGACGUCAAAUCAUCAUGGCCCUUACGUCCAGGGCUAGACACGUGCUACAAUGGCCAGUACAAAGGGUUGCAAGACUGCGAAGUCAAGCUAAUCCCGCAAAAUUGGUCUCAGUUCGGAUUGAAGUCUGCAAUUUGACUUCAUGAAGCUGGAAUCGCUAGUAAUCGUGGAUCAGCAUGCCACGGUGAAUACGUUCCC
rnacentral:rRNA from 1 species